rnacentral:rRNA from 1 species
UACGUAGGGUCCGAGCGUUGUCCGGAAUUACUGGGCGUAAAGAGCUCGUAGGUGGUUUGUCGCGUUGUUCGUGAAAACUCACAGCUCAACUGUGGGCGUGCGGGCGAUACGGGCAGACUAGAGUACUGCAGGGGAGACUGGAAUUCCUGGUGUAGCGGUGGAAUGCGCAGAUAUCAGGAGGAACACCGGUGGCGAAGGCGGGUCUCUGGGCCACUACUGACGCUG